GAGAAACAGCGAAGGUGGUACUGUUUGAAUUUCAGUGCAUGCAAUUCUGGGUGAAAACAGAAUACCGAGUUCACUGAUGGUGGUAUUUUGUUAUCUGUAGAGGACUGAAAUCGGAGAGGAGGAAGGGAGAAUUUAUCAAGGCCAAUGAAGGUGGUUGUUCGUGAAUUUUUCAGAAUGGAAUAGCAGAGAAGAAUUGCUGUUAAUGGUGGAGGAGGGAGAUGCAAUUGAAAAUCAGAGAAAGAAAGAUAAGAAGAAGCUUGAAGUAGAGAAAUCAAAGAAGAUGCUAGCUUCUGCAAUUAUUUGAGUUAAUCCUUUCUUCUCAAUCUACUGUGGAAUGAGGGGUUGAUAAGAAAUCAAGCAGUGUUGCUUCGGAGCCAAACUCAAAGAGUUUUGAGUGUGUGACCAAGGGCUUCAAAUGACCGUUCUGAUGAUGAAGGAGGGACUGACAAGAGGAAUGGUGUUAAGGCAAGGAACAAGUACCAUCCCCCGAUGUUGCUGAAGGGACAUCAAUUUAAAAAUGCUUCUUUGCUGGCAGACUUGGCUGGUGCAAGGGUUAUUACUGUUAGAUGAUCUUGAUUCGACAACCCUUGGAAAUGCAAUUGAAGAGAUGUUAGGGGAUGAGAGUAAAAUGGAAGAUAUGUUCUAGAGGGGCUCUGAGAGCUGCAAACUCCAAUACCUCUGUACAUAUUGCACAACACGUCAUUUCUCUAACCAGCUUAUAAUGAGGAAAGAAGAAGUAGACUUAAAGUUGGUUUAUACGCUAUGUAAGUCAUAGAUCCAACUUCCAUCUUUUUGGAGCCUGAGGACUAUCGCGCGUGGGUAGAGUGAAGGUACCUCCAAGGGGAAGGACACUGCAAUCAGAGACCAAGCUUCAGUGCUUUGACCCUGUAACGAUGAAAUACUUGGGAUAUUAUCCUGUAUUGACACCUGAUGUGGUUGGUUUUUUCUUUUUUUUUGUGUACAUUUGGCUUGGGGUUGUGGAUUGGUGUAGUGAAACAUGUAGCAAGCUGUUAUGGAGUCUUUGCUAACUUCUAAAUGGAUGGGUUCAUUUGAUAAUGAUGUUAAGGUGAUGAAAUUGAUUUUGUUCUCAUUUUGUGCCUGAUUUGAUAUACACUCUAGAGUUUAGAUGGUAGAAGAGAUGGAACUCAGAAUAUCCCAACUAUUGUUAAAUUCAUGGUGCUAAUCUUCAUUUCAGGUCAAGGAGGGGGUAGCACGAGCAAGUAAGGCACAGAAAACAUGGCUUGGGGUUGUGGAUUGGUGUAGUGAACAUGUAGUAAGCUGUUAUGGAGUCUUUGCUAACUUCUAAAUGGAUGGGUUCAUUUGAUAAUGAUGUUAAGGUCAAGGAGGGGGUAGCACGAGCAAGUAAGGCACAGAAAACAUGGGCAAAGAGUAACUUCAAGCAAAGAAACCUGUUUCUUCGGAUUAUUCUCAAGUAUAUAAUAGAACACCAAGGGGCUACCAAGUAAGGCACAGAAAACAUGGGCAAAGAGUAGCUUCAAGCAACGAAACCUGUUUCUUCGGAUUAUUCUCAAGUAUAUAAUAGAACACCAAGACCUUAUAUGUGAGAGUUAAGUUAGAAAGAAAUCAAUUAAUAAUUGUUAUA